rnacentral:lncRNA from 1 species
ACAAGACCAAAACACCUGGUCCAGGUGCCCAAUCUGCACUACGUGCUCUUGCUCGUUCUGGGAUGAGGAUUGGACGCAUAGGUGAAUCCUUUGUCCCUCUACAUUGAUGAAUAUAGAUCUAAGUACACGAAUGCUGUACAUUCUCACAACUUUUCAUAAUACUUUAUUAGGUGUUAAUCACUCAUAUGCGUUUUUUUAUAUUUUCUAGAGGAUGUGACUCCAAUUCCAACAGACAGCACUCGCCGAAAGGGUGGAAGAAGAGGAAGAAGGCUGUAAGCUUACUCCGGGAUUCCUACUAUUAUGGCUGUGUCGAUGGUUUCUCUGUGGUUCUGAUGCUCCUUAAGCUUUGCGGACUUAGUUUUUCAGAACUCCAACUUGGUUUUUGAUUAUUGUUUUGUCAGGGAUGUUUUGUCUUCGAUUUUGUUUUAUGUUGAACUUAGACAAUGAAAGAGGAAUUUUUGGCUUUAGAUUAACAAAUCAAUACAAUGCCCUUUGGUCUUAUUAUUAUUGAAAGAAAAUGGUGCGAUGUCGUUCAAUCCCAUUAGUUAUUUUUAUAUACAUCUUAAGCUGAUUUUAUGCUAUCAAGUUGAAUUCAAAGUCCUUUCUGUAAUUUUGUGUGCUAGGGUUUGUAGUAGUUUAGGCCUUAGGUUUUGUUUGGUGGAGAAUUUUGAAAACAAACAAUUCUCGAAGAGUAUGAAUAUCGAAGUGUUUUCUGUAUUCAUUUUCAAA